UAUAUUAAUGAAAUUUAGAAGUCAGGAUGGACUUUGUGCACAAAACUAUAAUACGGAACUCUUCAACAUGAAUAAUACAGUCCUACUUUUUGUUCUUAUUGUUUUUGCAGUAGGUGUAAAAGAGUCCAUUCAAGGGUUAUGUACUGACAACUUCUGUUCUAGUACCAAAAACAGCGCUGCUUGUAAUGGGUGUUGCAUUGGUCAGGGAU